GAGUUUGAUCGUGGCUCAGAUUGAACGCUGGCGGCAUGCCUUACACAUGCAAGUCGAACGGCAGCAUGAUCUAGCUUGCUAGAUUGAUGGCGAGUGGCGAACGGGUGAGUAAUACAUCGGAACGUGCCCUGUAGUGGGGGAUAACUAGUCGAAAGAUUAGCUAAUACCGCAUACGACCUGAGGGUGAAAGUGGGGGACCGCAAGGCCUCAUGCUAUAGGAGCGGCCGAUGUCUGAUUAGCUAGUUGGUGGGGUAAAGGCCCGACCAAGGCGACGAUCAGUAGCUGGUCUGAGAGGACGAUCAGCCACACUGGGACUGAGACACGGCCCAGACUCCUACGGGAGGCAGCAGUGGGGAAUUUUGGAC
rnacentral:rRNA from 1 species